GUCUCUUUAGAGACAUACAAUAAAAUUGGAAUAGUGGAGCGAAGAUUAGCAUGGCUGUGCAUGAUGACAUGUAGAAGUGAAGCAAUAAUACUAAUCUUU